rnacentral:rRNA from 1 species
AUUGAACGCUGGCGGCAUGCCUAACACAUGCAAGUCGAACGGCAGCACGGCAGUAGCAAUACUGUGGGUGGCGAGUGGCGGACGGGUGAGGAAUACGUCGAAAUCUGCCCAGUCGUGGGGGAUAACUAGCCGAAAGGUUAGCUAAUACCGCAUACGACCGAGAGGUGAAAGCGGGGGACCGCAAGGCCUCGCGCGAUUGGAUGAGCCGACGUCGGAUUAGCUAGUUGGUGGGUAAAGGCCACCAAGGCGACGAUCCGUAGCUGGUCUGAGAGGAUGAUCAGCCACACUGGAACUGAGACACGGUCCAGACUCCUACGGGAGGCAGCAGUGGGGAAUAUUGGACAAUGAGCGCAAGCCUGAUCCAGCAAUGCCGCGUGUGUGAAGAAGGCCUCGGUUGUAAGACGACUUUAUUCUAGACGAAAGACG